GUCUUGACAUCCUUUGGAAAUCUUAGAGAUUAGAGUUUUCCUUUGGGGGCAAAGGUACAAGUGGUGCAUGGUUGUUGUCAGGUUGUGUUGUGAGAUGGUGGGUUAAGUUCCGCAACGAGCGCAACCCUUUAUUUUAGUUGCCAACCAUAAAUUGGGCCAUCUUAGGAGGCUGCCGGUGACCAACCGGAGGAAGGUGGGGAUGGCGUCAAAUCCUCCUGCCCCUUAUGACCUGGGGUUCCCCCGUGGUUCCAUGGGCGGUACAAAGAGGUGCCAAAGCGGGGGGGUGAGGUAAUUUUUUAAAACCAUUUUCCGUUUGGAUUGUUGGGUGCCACUUGCCUACCUGAAGUCGGAAUCGGUUGUUAUCGCGGAUCCGCCUGGCGCGGUUGAUUAGGUUCCGGGCCUUGGUCCCCCCCCCCGUCCCCCCCUGGGGAUUUUAACCACCAGAGUUGGUUGGGUUACCUUUUUGGAGCCAGCCGCCUAAGGUGGACAGAUGAUGGGG
rnacentral:rRNA from 1 species